GCUAUUAUAGUUUCUAUGGCAGUGUUACUAAUUAGACAGAUAUCUUAUUGAUCUAGGGUUUUAAUUGUGCCCAUAACAACUUUUCUUUAGUUGUUUUCAUAUAGUAAUAAAUGGAUACUUUGUAUUUUAACAGAUUUAAACAUUAGGGAUGAAGCAAAACUUCCCAUGAUACCUUUUCCCCCACACAGUCUCCGCUCCUUGUCUGGAGAUAGUCAUUGUUAUAAAACUAGUUAGUUGUAAAUGGGGAUAUACGGAGCAGUAUUCAACUAUGCAGUUUUAUGUAAAGGGCUC
rnacentral:lncRNA from 1 species